UGGCGUUCCUUGUUUUUGUAUACGUGUUUCUUUUGUUUUUCCUUCUUUUAAAUAAAUAAAGAAGAUGAGUAUACACGUUCCCGCUGCACCUUGGUCCAAUCCUUACGACGCCCGUGACAAGGUGCUUCUACAAAGUAUUGACUCAGGGAUGUGAAUACUUACAGUACCAGUCAAAAGUUUGGACACACCUAUUCAUUCAAGGGUUUUUCUUUAUUUUACUAUUUUCUACAUUGUAGAAUAAUAGUGAAGAGUUUGCAAAGCUGUCAUCAAGGCAAAGGGUGGCUACUUUGAAGAAUCUCAAAUAUAACAUAUUUAGAUUUGUUUACCACUCUUUUGGUUACUACAUGGUUCCAUAUGUGUUAUUUCAUAGUUUUGAUGUCUACACUAUUAUUCUAUAAAUGUAGAAAAUAGUAAAAAAAAAUCUCUCAGAAUUUCUUUAAACAAAAAAGAAGCUAAUUUAACAACAUUUCUAAAAAAUUAUAUAUAGCGUUUUGGAAUGAAACUCUUCUUAAGUUGUUCUAAGAGUUGUGCAAAGUUGGUAGAAUCUUAUUCAAAAUGAUUCACAGCUGUAAUGGCUGCCAAAGGUGCGUCCACCAAAUAUUAUCUUUGGGGUGUGAAGACAUAGGCAAUCAAGACAUCUUUCUUUUUUACUUUUAAUUAGGAAAAGUUUCUAUAAUUUUUCUUUCACUUUGAAAAUGUGGAGUAGGUUGUGUACAUUGAAAAAAUCUAAUUCUAUCCAUUUUUAGAUUUCAUUUUGAGGCAGCAAAAUGUGAAGACUGUGCAAGGGGCGUGUAGACUUUCACUAGGCACUGUAUACAGUCCCUUCAGAAAGUAUUCAGACUUUUUACACAUAUUGUUAGGUUACAGCCUUAUUUUAAAAUGUAUUAAAUAGUUUCUCCCCCCCUCCCCCAAAUCUACACACAAUACACCCUAAUGUCAAAGCAAAAACAGGUUUAGAAUCUUUUGCUAAUUUACAACAAAUAAAAAACAGAAAUAUCAAUUUACAUAGGCAUUCAGACCCUUUACACAGUACUUUGUUGAAGCAUAUUUGGCAGCAAUUACAGCCUCGAGUCUUCUUGGGUAUGACACUGCAAGCUUGGCACACCUGUGUUGGGGAGUUUCUCCCAUUCUUCUCUGCAGAUCCUCUCAAGCUCUGUCAGGUUGGAUGGGGAGCGUUGCUGCACAGCUAUUUUCAGGUCUCUCCAGAGAUUUGUUUUUUUUCAGUCUGCCACCGCUUCCCUCUCACCUGCACCUUUCCCUGGGUGGCCACACCUCAAACGAAAGAAAGAAAAACAGGGAGGUAAUCACAGGUCUCAAUUAAUCAAUCAAUUAACAAACACUAAAUUAGGAGCACAUACAUAAUAAUAAAUUAGGGCAUUCAUCACACCUGUGACAUCUUGAUAUAUCAUCAUGCGCUUUAUCCUCAACAAAGUGUAGAAAAGUUCCACUAUUGACACUAUGCUGUAUUUACACAGUCAAUGAGUACAUUCUGACUCUUCAAUGAUCCAUUAUCACAUACCAUGACGUCAUAGCAUAAAUACCAGCCAAUCAUCAGCUCAUUUCCUGCGACACAAGACUACUCAUGAAAAUGUGCACUUAGGAAAUGGUCCUCCGAUGCAUUCUGGCUAAAGCAUUAUGAGUAAUCUUGUUACACCCUGUAGAGCUGCUCUAUUAAAAAUCUUAAAAGCUACUUUGCUCUUCACGGCCAUCGUACUAGCCCACCAUGUAGGGCUGCAUUAAAUGACAUAGCAGCCUCAAACUGGGCAGCUUCAACUCCCCAGUCUGGUCAUUAGUUUUAGGAAACUUCAAAAGGAACCAGUUGAAAAUAGUCCCCUUCUCCCUUUGGAGAAGGAUUUGACUGGCGUAGCCAGCACCAAACAGUAUGUCAAUCCUAAGACUUCAACCAGUCACAUGGAUCUGAAGCUCAUCAUAUGGCCUAUAUUUGAUCCUCUCUGCAAUGUUUUUGCAUGCCUUCCAGGUUAAGUAUUUGACAAGUAUAUGAUUGUUCGAACUUGAAAUUGAAAUCAAGACUGCAAAGGUGAAACAAAGUUCCCAAUGACUUUCGGUCAGCUACAGAGACCACUCUCUCACUGUCUCCCUGUACUGUGUGCAUCCAGUUUAUUGACUUAGCCAUGUAAUGUGACCCCAGGCAUUACUGACCUGUCAACCUUGACUCAGGGGUAGACGUAAAAUAGUAAACGUAAAUCUGUCUCCCACCAUUUACAUUGAACAAAAAUAUAAACGCAUCAUGCAACAAUUUCUAAGAUUUUAAUGAGUUACAGUUUAACCUCUUACAUCUAGACGUUCCGCUAGCGGAACACCGCUCCAAUAUCCAAUGAUAGGGCGUGGCGCGAAAUACAAACUCCUCGAAAAUCCGAAAACUGCCAUUUUUCAAACAUAUGACUAUUUUACACCAUUUUAAAGACAAUACUCUCCUUUAUCUAACCACACUGUCCAAUUUCAAAAAUGCUUUACAACGAAAGCAAAACAUUAGAUUAUGUCAGGAGAGUACCCAGCCAGAAAUAAUCAGACACCCAUUUUUCAAGCUACCAUAUAAUGUCACAAAAACCAAAACCACAGCUAAAUGCAGCACUAACCUUUGAUGAUCUUCAUCAGAUGACACUCCUAGGACAUUAUGUUAUACAAUACAUGCAUGUUUUGUUCAAUCAAGUUCAUAUUUAUAUCAAAAACCAGCCUUUUACAUUAGCAUGUGACGUUCAGAACUAGCAUUCCCACCGAACACUUCCGGUGAAUUUACUAAAUUACUCACGAUAAACGUUCACAAAAUACAUAACAAUUAUUUUAAGAAUUAUAGAUACAGAACUCCUUUAUGCAAUCGCGGUGUCCGAUUUUAAAAUAGCUUUUCGGUGAAAGCACAUUUUGCAAUAUUCUGAGUAGAUAGCCCGGCCAUCACAGGCUAGCUAUUUUGACACCCACCAAGUUUGGUACUCACCAAACUCAGAUUUACUAUAAGAAAAAUUGGAUUACCUUUGCUGUUCUUCGUCAGAAUGCACUCCCAGGACUUCUACUUCAACAACAAAUGUUGGUUUGGUUCCAAAUAAUCCAUAGUUAUAUCCAAAUAGCGGCGUUUUGUUCUUGCGUUCAAGACACUAUCCAAAGGGUAACGAAGGGUGACGCGCCGGCGCGUAUCGUGACAAAAAAUUUAAAAAUAUUCCAUUACCGUACUUCGAAGCAUGCCAAACGCUGUUUAAAAUCAAUUUUUAUGCAAUUUUUCUCGUAAAAUAGCGAUAAUAUUCCGACCGGGAGUCGUUGUUUUCGUUCAAAGACUGAAAAUGCAAAAUGGACUCUUCACAUGCACGCGCGCACCCGUCUCAUUGUUCUCAGAUCGACCACUAUCCAAAUGCGCUACUGUUUUUCAGCUAUGGACUGCAAAGUCAUCAUUCAACGUUCUGGCGCCUUCUGAGAGCCUAUGGGAGCCUUAGAAAGUGUCACGUUACAGCAGAGAUCCUCUGUUUUCAAUAAAGAGGGUAUAGAAGACCAAGAAAUGGUCAGAGGGCACUUCCUGUUUGGAAUCUUCUCAGGUUUUGGCCUGCCAUAUGAGUUCUGGUAUACUCACAGACACCAUUCAAACAGUUUUAGAAACUUUAGGGUGUUUUCUAUCCAAACCAAACAAUUAUAUGCAUAUUCUAGUUUCUGGGCAGGAGUAAUAAACAGAUUAAAUCGGGUACGUUUUUUAUCCGGCCGUGAAAAUACUGCCCCCUAUCCAUAACAGGUUAAAUAAGGAAAUCAGUCAAUUAAAAUAAAUUCAUUAGGCCCUAGUCUAUGGAUUUCACAUGACUGGGAAUACAGAUAUACAUCUGUUGGUCACAGAUACCUUCGCAUAGUGUUGAUCAGGUUGUUGAUUGUGGCCUGUGGAAUGUUGUCCCACUUCUCUUCAAUGGCUCUGCGAAUUUGCUGGAUAUUGGCGUAAACUGGAACAUGCUGUCAUACACGUCAAUCCAGAGCUUCCCAAACUCAAUGGGUGUCAUGUCUGGGGAUUUUCAGCUUCCAGGAAUUGUGUACAGGUCUGGGACAUUUUCAGCUUCCAGGAAUUGUGUACAGGUCCUUGUGACAUGAGGACGUUCAUUAUAAUGCUUAAACAUAAGGUGAUGACGGUGGAUGAAUCUCGUCACUAUCUCUGUGCAUUCAAAUUUCCAUCGAUAAAAUGCAAAAUAUAGUCCAUAGCUUAUGCCUGCCCACACCAUAACCCCACCGCCACCAUGGUGCAUUCUGUUCACAAUGUUGUUAUCAGCAUACCGCUCGCCCACACAAUGCCAUACACUGUCUGCCAUCUGCCCGGUACAGUUGAAACUGGGAUUCAUCCGUGAAGCGCACACUUCUCCAGCAUGCCAGUGGCCAUGGAAGGUGAACAUUUUCCCACUGAAGUUGGUCACGACGCCAAACUGCAGUCAGGUCAAGACCCUGGUGAGGACGACGAGCACGCAGAUGAGCUUCCCUGACAGUUUGUGCAGAAAUUCUUUGGAUGUGCAAACCCACAGUUUCAUCAGCUGUCCGGGUGGCUGGUCUCAGACGAUUCCGCAGGUGAAGAAGCCAGCUAUGGGCUGGAGUGGUUACACAUGGUUUGCGGUUGUGAGGCCGGUUGUACGUAUUGCCAAAUUCUCUAAAACGAUGUUGG
rnacentral:lncRNA from 1 species